rnacentral:rRNA from 1 species
AGAGUUUGAUCCUGGCUCAGGACGAACGCUGGCGGUGUGCUUCACACAUGCAAGUCGAACGGAGUAGCAAUACUCAGUGGCGGACGGGUGAGUAACACGUGGGAAUCUACCAUUAGGUGGGGAAUAACAGGCCGAAAGGACUGCUAAUGCCGCAUAUGUAGGCAUCUCGACAGAGAUGUUUAUGAAAGGAGUAAUCCGCCUUUUGAUGAGCCCGCGUCCGAUUAGCUAGUUGGUAGGGUAAAAGCCUACCAAGGCGACGAUCGGUAGGUGGUCUGAGAGGAUGAUCACCCACAAUGGGACUGAGACACGGCCCAUACUCCUACGGGAGGCAGCAGUGGGGAAUUUUACGCAAUGGGGGAAACCCUGACGUAGCGACACCGCGUGAGCGAAGAAGCCCUUUGGGGUGUAAAGCUCUGUCAACAGGAACGAAACAAAUGACGGUACCUGUGGAGGAAGCAUCGGCUAACUACGUGCCAGCAGCCGCGGUAAGACGUAGGAUGCAAGCGUUGUCCGGAUUUAUUGGGCGUAAAGAGUUCGUAGGCGGUUUGUUAAGUCUGAUGUUAAAGACCGGGGCUCAACCUCGGAAAUGCAUUGGAUACUGGCAGACUGGAGUGCAGUAGAGGCUAGUGGAAUUCCCAGUGUAGCGGUGAAAUGCGU